rnacentral:rRNA from 1 species
UACGUAGGGUGCGAGCGUUAAUCGGAAUUACUGGGCGUAAAGCGUGCGCAGGCGGUUAUGUAAGUCAGAUGUGAAAUCCCCGGGCUCAACCUGGGAACUGCAUUUGUGACUGCAUCGCUGGAGUGCGGCAGAGGGGGAUGGAAUUCCGCGUGUAGCAGUGAAAUGCGUAGAUAUGCGGAGGAACACCGAUGGCGAAGGCAAUCCCCUGGGCCUGCACUGACGCUCAUGCACGAAAGCGUGGGGAGCAAACAGG